rnacentral:rRNA from 1 species
CUGGCGGCGUGCCUAACACAUGCAAGUCGAACGAAGCAUACGGACCGGAGAUUCGUCGAAGGGCCGUAUGACUUAGUGGCGGACGGGUGAGUAAUGUAUGAGCAACCUGCCUUUCAGAGGGGGACAACAGUUGGAAACGACUGCUAAUACCGCGUAACGUAUCGUGGGGGCAUCCUCGUGAUACCAAAGGAGCAAUCCGCUGAAAGAUGGGCUCAUAUCUGAUUAGCUUGUUGGCGGGUAACGGCCACCAAGGCGACGAUCAGUAGCCGGACUGAGAGGUUGAACGGCCACAUUGGGACUGAGAUACGGCCCAGACUCCUACGGGAGGCAGCAGUGGGGAAUAUUGGGCAAUGGGCGAAAGCCUGACCCAGCAACGCCGCGUGAAGGAAGAAGGUCUUCGGAUUGUAAACUUCUUUUAUGAGGGACGAAGGACGUGACGGUACCUCAUGAAUAAGCCACGGCUAACUACGUGCCAGCAGCUGC